rnacentral:rRNA from 1 species
UGGGGAAUAUUGCACAAUGGGCGGAAGCCUGAUGCAGCGACGCCGCGUGAGGGAUGACGGCCUUCGGGUUGUAAACCUCUUUCAGCUCCGACGAAGCGCAAGUGACGGUAGGAGCAGAAGAAGCGCCGGCCAACUACGUGCCAGCAGCCGCGGUAAGACGUAGGGCGCAAGCGUUGUCCGGAUUUAUUGGGCGUAAAGAGCUCGUAGGCGGCUUGUUGCGUCGUCCGUGAAAACCCGCAGCUCAACUGCGGGCUUGCGGACGAUACGGGCAGGCUAGAGUUCGGUAGGGGAGACUGGAAUUCCUGGUGUAGCGGUGAAAUGCGCAGAUAUCAGGAGGAACACCGGUGGCGAAGGCGGGUCUCUGGGCCGAUACUGACGCUGAGGAGCGAAAGCGUGGGGAGCGAACAGGAUUAGAUACCCCGGUAGUCC